CCUCUCGUCGUUCAACGGAUAGGACGCAAGCUUGCGGAGCUUGUAAUGCAGGUUCGAUUCCUGCCGAGAGGA
rnacentral:tRNA from 3 species